ACGAACGCUGGCGGCGUGCUUAACACAUGCAAGUCGAACGGAAAGGCCCUGCUUUUGUGGGGUGCUCGAGUGGCGAACGGGUGAGUAACACGUGAGUAACCUGCCCUUGUCUGUGGGAUAACUUCAGGAAACUGGGGCUAAUACCGGAUAGGAGCUCCUGCUGCAUGGUGGGGGUUGGAAAGUUUCGGCGGUUGGGGAUGGACUCGCGGCUUAUCAGCUUGUUGGUGGGGUAGUGGCUUACCAAGGCUUUGACGGGUAGCCGGCCUGAGAGGGUGACCGGCCACAUUGGGACUGAGAUACGGCCCAGAAUCCUACGGGAGGCAGCAGUGGGGAAUAUUGCACAAUGGGCGGAAGCCUGAUGCAGCAACGCCGCGUGCGGGAUGACGGCCUUCGGGUUGUAAACCGCUUUCGCCUGUGACGAAGCGUGAGUGACGGUAAUGGGUAAAGAAGCACCGGCUAACUACGUG
rnacentral:rRNA from 1 species